UGCAGUCGAGCGGACAGAUGGGAGCUUGCUCCCUGAUGUUAGCGGCGGACGGGUGAGUAACACGUGGGUAACCUGCCUGUAAGACUGGGAUAACUCCGGGAAACCGGGGCUAAUACCGGAUGCUUGAUUGAACCGCAUGGUUCAAUUAUAAAAGGUGGCUUUUAGCUACCACUUACAGAUGGACCCGCGGCGCAUUAGCUAGUUGGGGAGGUAACGGCUCACCAAGGCGACAAUGCGUAGCCAACCUGAAAGGGGGAUCGGCCACACUGGGACUGAAACACGGCCCAAACUCCUACGGGAGGCAGCAGUAGGGAAUCUUCCGCAAUGGACGAAAGUCUGACGGAGCAACGCCGCGUGAGUGAUGAAGGUUUUCGGAUCGUAAAACUCUGUUGUUAGGGAAAAACAAGUACCGUUCGAAUAGGGCGGUACCUUGACGGUACCUAACCAAAAAGCCACGGCUAACUACGUGCCAGCAGCCGCGGUAAUACGUAGGUGGCAAGCGUUGUCCGGAAUUAUUGGGCGUAAAGCGCGCGCAGGCGGUUUCUUAAGUCUGAUGUGAAAGCCCCCGGUUCAACCGGGGAGGGUCAUUGGAAACUGGGGAACUUGAGUGCAAAAGAGGAGAGUGGAAUUCCACGUGUAGCGGUGAAAUGCGUAGAGAUGUGGAGGAACACCAGUGGCGAAGGCGACUCUCUGGUCUGUAACUGACGCUGAGGCGCGAAAGCGUGGGGAGCGAACAGGAUUAGAUACCCUGGUAGUCCACGCCGUAAACGAUGAGUGCUAAGUGUUAGAGGGUUUCCGCCCUUUAGUGCUGCAGCAAACGCAUUAACCACUCCGCCUGGGGAGUACGGUCCGCAAGACUGAAACUCAAAGGAAUUUGACGGGGGCCCGCCACAAGCGGUGGAAGCAUGGUGGUUUAAUUCGAAGCAACGCGAAGAACCCUUACCAAGGGUC
rnacentral:rRNA from 1 species